GGGCCCAUAGCUCAUUUGGUAGAGCGCCUGCUUUGCACGCAGGAGGCGAGCGGUCCGAAUCCGCUUGGGUCCACCA
rnacentral:tRNA from 1 species